AUGUUUCAUUACAACAAACUUGAAAUAUGUUAUUUAAAUCCACAGCUGCAAAGUACUUAAACCGGUAUAACAAGAUGAAAAUUGAAGUUCUUGAACAGGAAACACACGCCACAUUCUACUCCAGCAGUUUACUUAUGGAAUUCCAUGACCCAAAAGUUGCACACGGAACAGUUUGACCUUAUGCCUCUAAAGCCAGCUCCCUUUGCCAAUGCAAGAAACUCGACUUCUGAUCGCUCUUUGCCCCCCCUGGAUAUUGAGUCAUCAAAAUUAGAUCGGAUUGGCUCUUACUAAUCACGGUGUUACUAGUGUCAGGUUCGACUGAGAGAAUUUUCUCAACAACAAUCACCUUUCCAUCUUCAGGUAUAGCUUUAUAGCAGUUCAUAAGCAACUUCAAACAGUGGUCAUCACUCCAAUCAUGAAGUAUCCACUGUCAAGAAUGGUUACCUAAUUUAGAUAAAAAUAUCUUCAAGACUAAUAAACAAUCUGCGCAUCAUAUUGUCAAUAAAAAUUAUGAGAAA
rnacentral:lncRNA from 1 species